UACGUAGGGUGCAAGCGUUAAUCGGAAUUACUGGGCGUAAAGCGUGCGCAGGCGGUCCGUUAAGACAGAUGUGAAAUCCCCGGGCUUAACCUGGGAACUGCAUUUGUGGCUGGCGGACUCGAGUAUGGCAGAGGGGGGUAGAAUUCCACGUGUAGCAGUGAAAUGCGUAGAGAUGUGGAGGAAUACCGAUGGCGAAGGCAGCCCCCUGGGCCAAUACUGACGCUCAUGCACGAAAGCGUGGGGAGCAAACAGG
rnacentral:rRNA from 1 species